rnacentral:misc_RNA from 1 species
GUAAACCUGAAAAUUUACCAGAUGAAGUUUGGUAUUACGUUCCGCGCAAUGGAAAUGGCGACAUAAGUUUUGGUCCAUGGAAGCCCAAAGGUGGAGCUUGUAAACUGUAUUCAGAUUCUUUUUCCACUGGAUGGAGAACAACUUAUGAAUAUUAUGAAGGUCAAGCACCUCAUGACCGUAAAACAGCCUGGGUUAUGCAGAAGUACUGGAUGAGUCAGACAGACCCGUGUGAAAACAGCAAGCAAAAGGAAACCAGCUCACUUUGCAAAGUCUUUCUUGGGGACGAACAAUUUCAAAACCAUGAAAAGAUUGUGAAAAUCAUCAAUUCAGAACCCAACAACUUAAAUCAUCAGUUGGUUGUUCCAGAUGGUUCGACUUCGAAUAAUAUGGCAAAUGGGUCCACAAGCAAGUCUGAGGUAAUGAGUGAAGAUGACAAGAUGGUAGAAUUGGCA